UUAUAGGCUUCUCAAACCUCGGCUUGGAUAGAGUAAGUCUACAGAAGAUUAGCUCUUAUUACUUCAACGGUUUUAAAACAGGGAAUGUUAAAUACCCACUUAUUUUCUUCCUGCCUUUUAGCUCCCACGUUUCAAUUGAAACUAAUAUCAAACAAGCAAACAAAACAAAUCAGAAACCCCCUGGUAGCCAGGGUUUGGCAUUUGUGAUUAAUCUACAGGAGAUCAGUACUAAAAUAGGAUAUUAUGUCUGAGAACAUUUUCAUCCUAGGUCCUGCUGCAACUCGAAUGGCACUUAGGCUCCACAAGACCAACUUCCUGUUUCUACAUCAGUGAAGGUUCGGAGUGGAGCUUUUCAUUCAGCAAAGACAGCAGGAAGCACAGGGUUCGGUGAUGAAUUCUCACGUGGUACCUCUUCAGUAGAAAAAUUCAAUAAGGUUUCUGACACUUUCUACCUAUGGGCCAGUUACAUACAGAAGAGAAAACUGAAACUGAAAACUGGUUUGUCAUUUUUACAGAAAGUCACUGCAAAGAAGGAGAAUUCCAAGUGCAAAUGACUUGAGGUGUUGAAUAGAGAACCAGGCAGAUCCACCACCUACAGUAAAGAUGACCCUAAAGUGAAUUGGUUGAAGAAAUUAGAUCCCAAAGAUUCUUGGUGAAUUUUCAAGUCUUCAUCAGUAUAUCCAUAUUAAAAGGAGAUGACAGAAGCCAAAAUAAAAGAAUUAUGGGCUGACGGGACAACUGGAUUAAAAUAAGCAUCAGUUUCAUUAAAAAGGGCUAACUUGAAGAUAAAUCUUUUGACUCCAGCUCUUUAGAGGAUCUAAAGUGACCCUGAUGGACAGUGGAAAAAAUCACAACAUGGAAUCCCUUGGAUAAAAAUCUGUUGACUUUGAAUAAUUUUGCCUAAUGUUACAUAAUACACAAUUAAAAAAAAAAAAAACCUUG